rfam:Schistosoma margrebowiei strain Zambia genome assembly, scaffold: SMRZ_contig0000943
GUCCAGCUGACGAGUCCCAUAUAAGACGGAACACGCGUCCUGUAU